rnacentral:rRNA from 1 species
UACAGAGGGGGCAAGCGUUGUUCGGAAUUACCGGGCGUAAAGGGCGCGUAGGCGGCUCGGUAAGUCGGGUGUGAAACCCCCAGGCUCAACCUGGGGACGCCACCCGAUACUGCUGUGGCUAGAGUCCAGUAGGGGAGUGUGGAAUUCCCGGUGUAGCGGUGAAAUGCGCAGAUAUCGGGAGGAACACCAGCGGCGAAGGCGGCACUCUGGGCUGGAACUGACGCUGAGGAGCGAAAGCGUGGGUAGCAAACAGG